CGGUAUUUUGGAACGCGGCGUUUGGCUCAGUAGAAAUCACAACUUAGUAUGUUAGUAUUUUGGGGACGGGUUUUAGACAUUGGGAAUGUCGGGAAUGGCCGGGAAUUUAGAAUGUCCCAAAAAUACCCCUUUAGUAUGAUUUUAGUGAUUUUAUGGUGGAGGGGCAAAAUGGUCUUUUUGCCCCAUUAGUGUUUUGUCUUAUAUGAUUUAUUAAAUGGAAAAUGAAUAAUUAAUUAAAUGUUUAUUUGGCUGAAAUAGAUGAUUUAUGUGAUUUAUAUUUCCCUUUUCUCAAAUUUCAUCACUUAGUCAUUUUAAAGAAAUUAGAAAAAAAUCACUCAAAGCUCUCUCUUCCUCCCUCUUUUCGGUUUGGUGUUGGGCUGCUAGGGCUGAGAUUUUUCCUCUUCAAGCUUGUGAUUUUCUCCUCCUCUAAGUGUAAUUCAAGAGCCAGUAAUCCGCCGUUCAGCUUCAGUUCCAGUCAGGUUGACCGGCACACCUGAAAUCGGAAUCCAGGUAAAGGCAAGGCAGUUGCUGAUGGACCGUGAGCGAGCUUAUGAGAUUGUACAUGUCGGGGCGGUUAGGCCUGGAGCGUACGAUCCUCGGGACAGCACGGCUGAGAUUUUGUAAAUGUCGUUAGACGACUUUAUUUUGAUGUAAAAGUUAAACAGUAAAAACGUUUGUAAAUAUUUUUAUAAAUCGGGAUCCCGAGACUUUUUGUAAAA